rnacentral:lncRNA from 1 species
GAGCCGCGGCACGCAGGCGCAAAGGCUGGCGUUCGAGGUUCGUUUACGCGCCGCUUCGCCGUGCAGGUGGUGGCGAAGCGCUCCUCCGAAAGGUUUCGGAAGCUGGUGGUAGCUCUGAAGAUAACGCUGCGUUAGGGCAUACUGCGGCGGAGGAUGGAACUCCGAUUGAAAGCAGUUGCUGGAGUGGAGCACGAAUUUCAACAGUAUGGUGGCUCAUGCCUCUAAUCUCAGCACUUUGGGAGGCCGAAGCAGGCAGAUCACCUGAGGUCAGGAGUUUGAGACCAUCCUGACCAACAUGGUGAAACUCGUCUCUACUACAAACAUAAAAAAAUUAGCUGGGCGUGGUACCACGCACCUGUAAUCCCAGCUACUCCUCUGGAGGCUCAGACAGGAGAACUGCUUGAACCGGGAGGCGGAGGUUGCAGUGAGCUGAGAUCGCACCAAUCCAUUCCAGCCUGGGCAACAGAGUGAGACUCCAUCUCAUAAAAAAAAAAAAAGUAAAGAAAAAAAAGAAAAUGUCUUUAUUUCAUUUUCUUUCCUAAAGAAUAUAUUUGCUGGAUAAAGGAUUCUGUGUUGACAGUUUUGUUGCUUUUUAAAAGCACUUUAUAAAUGUUGCUCCAUGGUUUCUGAUGAGAAAUCUGCCAUCACUGAAAUCUUUGGUUCUCCUAUAUACAAAGUGUUGUUUUCUUCCAGUUGUUUUCAAAGUAUUUUCUUUACAGUUGGUUUCAUCACUUUGAUUAUGACGUGCCUGGGUGUGGUUUUCCUUUUUGGGAUUUGCUGUGCCAGCAGACCGGCUUUAAAUAGAAUGCUAUGUAAAUGUAUGUGAAUAUUUGUUUUUUGCCAGAUGUUUGGAAGUUUUUAGCUAUUAUUUCUUCAGAUAUUUUUUUCUUCCAAUUGUUCUUUCUGGGCUCCUAAGACAUGAAUAUUAGACUGUUUCAUAUUGUCCCACAGAUCCCCAAAGGUCUUCUCAUUUUUUUCACUUUUUUCUCUGUCAUUCAGACUAGAUAAUUUCUGCUCAUGUAUCUUCAAAUUUACUGACUCUUCCCUCAGUCAUCUUCAUUGUGUUGAGACCUUCCAGUAAAUUUUGUUAUUGUAUUUUCAGUUCUACAAUUUCCACUUGUUUCUUUUUAUAGCUUCUAUGCUGAGACUUUUAGCUUUCCAUUUAUUUCAACAGUGUUUCCCUUUAUAUAUUUCCUUUGGAGAAAUGUCUUCUUUGUGUAGCAUGAUUAAAAUAACUAGUUUAACGGCCAGGUGUGCUGGCUUAUGCCUGUAAUCCCAGCACUUUGGGAGGCCCAGGCAGGCAGAUCACUUGAGGUCAGGAGUUUGAGACCAGCCUGGCCAACGUGGUGAAACUCUGUCUCUAUUAAAAAUACAAAAAAUUAUCUAGGCGUGGUGGUACACACCUGUAGUCACAGCUACUCAGGAGGCUGAGACAGGAGAAUCACUUGCACCCUGGGGGUGGAGGUUGCAGUGAGCCAAGAUUGUAUCACUGCACUCUAGCCUGGGUGAUAGAGACUGUCUCAAAAAUAAAUAAAAAAAAUAAAAUAACUAGUUUUAAGUCUUUUUCUGAUAAUUCUGACAUUUGGGUAACCUUAGAGUUGGCUCUUGUUCAUUGUCUUUUCCCUAGAGAGUUGCUUAGGUUUCACAAGUUCUUUGUCCAAUCAUUUUGGGUUGUUUCUGGGAUAUAUUUGGAAUAUUAUGAUAUUCUCUAUCCUGUUUAAAUCUUCAUAAGAAUGUUUUUGUUUUGUUUUGUUUUAGCAGACCAUCAAUUCAGUUAAGUUUCAGAGCACACAUCCUGGCCACUUUUUUUGGUGGCUGUGGUUCCAAUGUUAGUUUUCACUGCCUUUGUUAAGCUGUUCUUUGCCCCAGUUGUGCACCAUCUAGUGGCCAAUCUGAAACUUGGACAGUGGCCUACACUGUAAUUCAGUGUUCAGAACCUUUGCUCAGCUGCUUCUGGUUAGUUUCACACAUACACAGCUUGUGAGAUGAUCCCAGGAUUUUAUUGACAGAUUUAAGGGUUCCUUUUCUUCAGUUCCCUCCUAUUUGUGAUCUUACCUAUACUCUGGUUUCUAGAACCCCAUUCUUGGUUUUUGGCUAGAAAGUCAGGGCGUUAGCCUCCCCAUUGCCAGUGUUCUGCCCUGCAAUGUCUGCCACUAGUGCACCAGGGGGAAGAGAAGAGUGAUACCUCUUUACUGCUGCGGGAUUGAUGUAGAGCAAGGAAAGUCCAGAAGGUUCCAAGUCAUUACCCAUGGUUCUCCUGGUGGGGCGGUGGGUCUUACUGCAUCUUUCCUGAGGCUCUCUUAGAAUACUGCAAUUAAAUUAAAAAGGGUUUUGUCCCAUAGCCUCCAACCUCCUUUCUGGUCCUCUGACUAGAAACAGCAAAUUGUUCCUUGGACUAUUUUUCUCUCUGUCAGCUAGCAUUUCCAGUUUUCCUGUUAAAUGUCUUUUUUCUUUUUCCUUUUUUUUGAGACAAGGUUUUGCUCUGUUGCACGAUCACAGCUCACUGGAGCCUUAACCUCCUGGGCUCAAGUGAUCCUCCCACCUCAGCCCCCGUGAAGCUGGGACCACAAGUAUGAGCCACCACACCUGGCAAAAUUUUUUUAAUUUUGCAGAGACAGUGUCUCCCUGUGUUGCUCACUCUGGUCUCAACCUGAGCUCGAGUGAUCCUCCUGCCUUGGCCUCCCAAAGUGCUCGAUUACAGGUGUGAGCCACUGCACCUGGCCUUAUUAUGUGUCUAUGUGUGGAUUUUCUAGUUUAUUCUGUUUGGGAUUUGUCUGGCUUCUAGAAUGUGUGGGGUCAUGUCUUUCAUCAGUUUUUAAAAUUCUGCAUUCUAUCUAAGUAUUUGCUCUGUCCUAUUCUUGCCUCUCCUCUCACAGCUAAUGAAGCACUUAGGAUUUUUCACUGUAUUCUCUACAGGUCUUCUGUUUUUUUUUCCAGCUGUUUCUCCCAUGGUGCACUGUGAAUAGUUUCUCCUGAGUUAUCUUCCAGUUUAUAAACUACCCCAAUUGGCUACAUUCUAUUACAUCUAUUUACUGAGUUUUAAAGUGCAGUUUUUAUGUAUAUUCUUGUAAUGUUUAUAUUCAGUUCUUUUCCAGAUUAGCUCCACAACUUUUUAUCGUAUAGUUUCCCAUUUCCUGCAAGUACAUUCACACACCUUAUUUCCUUAAACAAAGAAAACAAAUCUAAUACCUAUAUCUGUGAGUUUGUUUUCAUUGCUUCAAGUAAUUCUUGCCUCUGGAAUCUAGUUUCCUUAUAUGACUACUUUUUACUAUGUGUUACUAGACAUAUUUGAAAAGUAAUUUGAGGCCUACAAUGAAAUUACUUUUCCAUGAAAAGUAUUUACAUUUUAUUUUCUCUGUCACCUGGAGGCAUUACUAGUGUGGGAACACCUUAAAGGAAGCUCAGUGCUUAAGAUUCUUUAGAUCACUGGGGCAAUUCUAAACUUGCCUGUUCUUUUACAUUGGUUCUUCCACCUCUGAUUCAUUAUCAUCCUAAA